rnacentral:rRNA from 1 species
GACGAACGCUGGCGGCGUGCCUAAUACAUGCAAGUAGGACGCAGUUGCGAACGGGUGAGUAACGCGUAGGUAACUGCCUAUUAGAGGGGGAUAACUAUUGGAAACUAUAGCUAAUACCGCAUACUAGUAGAUGGACCUGCGUUGUAUUAGCUAGUAGGUAGGGUAAUGGCCUAACUAGGCGACGAUACAGAACCGAGCUGGGAGGGGUGUCGGCCAACAUUGGACUGAGCAAAUGCCCCGAAUCCUUACGGAGGCAACAGUUGGGUAUCUUCGGAAAUGGGGGGAAACCUGGAUGAGCAAAUGCGCGUGAGUGGAGAAAGUUCUCGGAUUGGAAAACUAUGUUGUUAAGGAAGCGGUACUUACCCAGAAAGGGACGGCUAACUACGUGCCAGCAGCCGCGGUAAUUC